GAUGAACGCUAGCGGCAGGCCUAAUACAUGCAAGUCGAACGAGGUCAUCUCUUUCGGGAGAUGGCUUAGUGGCGCACGGGUGCGUAACGCGUAUGCAACCUACCUUUAACUGGGGGAUAGCCCCGGGAAACCGGGAUUAAUACCGCAUAAUACUAUUUGAGGGCAUCUGAGGAUAGUUAAAGAUUUAUUGGUUAAAGAUGGGCAUGCGUGCCAUUAGCUAGUUGGUAGUGUAACGGACUACCAAGGCUACGAUGGCUAGGGGUUCUGAGAGGAUGAUCCCCCACACUGGUACUGAGAUACGGACCAGACUCCUACGGGAGGCAGCAGUAGGGAAUAUUGGGCAAUGGAGGCAACUCUGACCCAGCCAUGCCGCGUGCAGGGAAGAAGGCCUUCUGGGUUGUAAACUGCUUUUAUCUAGGAAGAAAACGCCCAUGCGUGGGCAACUGACGGUACUAGAUGAAUAAGCACCGGCUAACUCCGUGCCAGCAGCCGCGGUAAUAC
rnacentral:rRNA from 1 species